rnacentral:rRNA from 1 species
UCGUCCGCCCUGGGUUAGUCGGGACCUAAGCUGAGGCCGAAAGGCGUAGGGGAUGGACAACAGGUUGAUAUUCCUGUACUACCGAUAACCGUUUGAGGGAAGGGAUGACACAGUAGGAUAAGCUAAGCACACUGUUGGGUAUGUGUGCCCAAGCAUUGAGGCAGACAUAGUAUGAAAGACGGCUAUGAUAAUGCACGGGUGUGAGAGGGGACCG